rnacentral:rRNA from 1 species
UACGUAGGGGGCAAGCGUUGUCCGGAAUCAUUGGGCGUAAAGCGCGUGUAGGCGGCUUGAUAAGUCUGCUCUGAAAGCCCGGGGCUCAACCCUGGGAGGCGGGUGGAUACUGUCGAGCUCGAGUCCGGAAGAGGCGAGUGGAAUUCCUGGUGUAGCGGUGAAAUGCGCAGAUAUCAGGAGGAACACCGAUGGCGAAGGCAGGUCUCUGGGCCACUACUGACGCUGAGAAGCGAAAGCAUGGGGAGCGAACAGG